rnacentral:tRNA from 1 species
GGGCCUGUAGCUCAGUUGGUCAGAGCGCACGCCUGAUAAGCGUGAGGUCGAUGGUUCAAAUCCAUCCAGGCCCACCA